UUGCAUCCAAUAAAGCAAACUGUGUUUCUUUUCCCGUGGGCGCCCAGUGUGCAGUGACUGCAAAGAGCAGCCUUCUUGGUAGUGUACGCAGCCUAUUGCCUGUACAGUGUGCCCUAACGGACCUUGGAGACAACU
ensembl:snoRNA SNORA70 Small nucleolar RNA SNORA70